GAUGGAGAGGAUUGGCCUGUCAUCCCACCAAUCAGAGUGCGAAAGGAAGUGGAAAUCUACAGCCCUCUUACUCUGCAGCCCUCUGUGAUUGUGUUUCCAUGGCAACCCUAAAAUAAGGUGUACCAGUACAAUAUAUUUAGGUACCAUUAAGAACAAUAUUCUUAUCUGUGUAUGUUGAAGCAUAAUGACCGUUUGAUAUAAUAUAAUCUGAGUUGCCAGGUGGAAGGAGGAAGUGGCUCUGUGAUGUGGGAAGUGUCUGAUAGAGAAAUUGCCACAGUUACAGUAAAAGGGGUGGUCAUAGCAGGAAAGAGGAGGGGCCAGGCUGAAAUUCAGGUUUCAGAUUCCAAAAACAUCCUGCACAAAGUAGUCAGGAAGGGUUAGUAUUUGCACAAACACACACACACACAAACACAGUCUGGUUCACUAUCCUUGUAUAGGGACUCUCCAUACUGUACAAACUGUAUUUUCUAUUGCUUUUUACAACAUUUUUACAAUCAAAAAAAAACUAAUUCUGUAUGAUUUAUAAGCUUCUGUAGCCAUGGGGACCUCAAUUUAGGUCCCCGAAGUGACAAAAGUCCCCAUGAGUUGGUGUAUUUCUUAUAUUUCUUUCACUGUUUGUACAGGUGAUGGUCGUGAGGCCUGCCCGGUUGCAGCUGAUUCCCCAGGGGGGCGUUUGUUGUGUGGGGGACAGGAUAGACAUUCCCUUUGCUCUCUGGGGCAUUCAGGACCCACCAAACACUUGCUCUCAGACAAAUUAUGUCUUUGAUACACAUUUGUACACUCACAGGAGCAUCACUGCAAAUUCUCAGGCAAACUUGUUCUCUGAAACACACCAUCUUCAAUGCGGCGAGUCUCUACUGGAGGAUAGAAAUCUUGUGUUAGUCACAGACUGCUCUCAGCUCUCUCUACACGUCCAAACUGAACCUGCCGGCUUCUUCACACGCAUGCCAGGAUCUCUGUCUCCAGGUGCUGGAUUCUCUUUCACGGGGGCACACUGUUGUUACCAUCACAGUGGAAACAGAGGGAUGCAACAUCAGUGAGACGACAACACUGGUGGCCUACAGCCCUCCCAAAGUAUGCUGUUUCUGUGUGUGUGUGUGUAGGUGUGUCUCUGUGCACAACUGUGUAUGUGUGCACGUAUGAUUUGUGGUAAGUGUCAUGUCUCUAUAAAGGGUGAUUUAUCAGCCCUAUGGUGGCUAUUUAUUAAGAUAAUGAACUGUUCGGGAGUAGCAGAAGAUUAAUGUGUAACUGAGUGCUCCUGAUCACUGAUGUAUGACUCUGUAUGUCAGGGACAUAGAGAGCAGCGGAGCUCUCUGGUCCAGGGCAAAUGCUGCCAAGCACACUCAUGGGAAUUUAACAGGACAAUGUGAUGGAUCAGUGCUUUGCUUUUGUCAGUCAGACACUAAUGAAAGACAGCAACAAGUUUAACAAGGACAUUAUCGUGAGCUUUGUACUCUAUUUAGCCUCUGAGUGACAUUGUUUUCCCCUUCUUUCACUUAGUUUCUUGCGCCUGAGGUUCUUCUCUCAGUGGGCUCCUCUUGUGUGGUUAUAUUCGAGGGUGGGCUUCGUCCCUGGCUCCCGGCUACCUUCCGUUUCUUUAGUGACGUCGAGGUGCAGCCAGAGGGGGGUGUUACCAUGGAGGCUCUGCGUCCGACUGCAGCAAGGCCACCUAAACAUGCGUAUCAGGUCAUGUGCACUGCCGUAGGAGAACAGGUUUGAAAUGUCCUCAACUACAAUGUGACUCAUGUGUCAUAUGUACUGCAUUAUUACACUAAACUCAUGUAGAUGCAUUUAUUAAUAAUAAUAGAUUUUAUUUUCUGUUUUUACCCACAAACAUAUGGGGUAUUUACAGAACCAGAAGAUUAAAAAUGAUCAUUUAAUAAAUAAUAACCAAUAAUAAGUAAUGUUUAAAAUCCCACCUAUAGAGUGUACAUUUUUUAAUUUUUAUUAUUUACAUCUUUUUAUAUUUCAUUAUAUUUAAUAGAUAAGUUUGGGGUCAUUAAUAUUAUUUUUUUAUUUUUUUAUUUUGAGUUGAUCAAAAGUGACAGUUAAAGGGGUCAUAUGAUGUGAUUAAAAUUUUUCCAUUCUCUUUGGAGUGUUACAAGCUCUUGGUGCUUAAAGAAGAUCUGUAAAAUUGCAAAGACUAAAGUCUCUAAUCCAAAAUGUACUUACAGGCUGUGAGUCAGAUGCACCAGACUGUCCUUGCAAAGUUGGAACUCCCCCACUUUAUAGAAACAGCCUUUGUGCCACAGACACAUUGUAGGAUAGUCUGCAGGUUUAGGAGACAGUCCUCAUCCUCCAUAAAAUGCGCAGCACAAAUCUGAAUAUUUGGGUUGAACUGUUCUGGAAACUUAACCACUGAUUUCUAUUUGUGUCCUUUUUUGGAAGGCCAAACACAGUAAUUUCACUUUCAAAAAGAAACACACUGUCUCCAUGACAUGGCGACGGCAACAACAAUACUACAACAAGAAUAAAAGGUAUGCCUUCUUUCUUUGCGUGAACAUCUGGGCAGCAUUAUGCAAAUCUUCCCACAUAGUGACAUAGACAUGUGGGGGCGUGUUUGAACGAGGUGUCUUAGGGGGGCAUGGUUGACUCUUAACCUUUGGAUUUGAGACUUUUGGGAAAAAUGUAAAUUGCAUCAUAUGACCCCUUUAAACAGCAAAAAUAUCUUUAUUUAAAAAAAAUACAGCAUAACUGGUUUCAACACUGAUAUAAAAUAAGAAAUGUUUCUUGAGCUGCAAAUCAUGAUUUAUUAAGGACCGUAUGAAACUGAAGACUGGAUCAAUGGCUGCUUAAAAUUCAGCUUUGUCAUCACAGGAAUUAAUUACAUUUUCAAAUAUAUUAAAAUGGAAAACAGUUGUUUUCCAUCAUAAUCAUAUUUAACAAUAUUAUUAAUUUUACUGUAUUUUUGAUCAAAUAAAUGCAGCGUAGGGGAGCAUAAGAGACUCCUUUCAAAUACAUUUUAAAAAAUCUUACUGACUCCAAACUUUGAAACUUUUAUAUAUGAAAGAAAAGUUUACAAAAGUUACAGACAUGUAUUUUUAAAACAAUUUUUUUUUAAGCCUCCAAAAUCUGGUGGACAUUUUGUGGUUUAAUUAAAAUCUAGUUGAGAUAUAUUUUAUAUAUCAAACAGUGAAGAAUUUGAAAUUUCUCUGCUGCAUAAGCUCUUCAUGAUUUGAGUGGGUGAAGUGCUAUCCUUGCAGUCGUGUAUGUUUUUUUUCAUAUGAGACUGUUCUCUCUUUUUCUUUUUUAGCCCCCCUCCUGCUGUUACAUCCUCUCAUAAACUCUUUUAUGAUUCACUUAUUUUCCUCUUUUCCCUUCACCUGCCCAGACCUCUCUUUUUCUUUUCAUUUUAUCAUUUUCUCGCCCUCCAGGUGUUUCUCUUUCUUUCUGUUUCACCCCUACACCUACACCAGACCUUCGUCUAUCUUUGUCUCUCUUUCCCCUGCUCUCAUUUGCCAUGCAAUUAUGUGUGAUAUGCAGGGUGAAGUGUUAUGGCAGUUUCCAUAGUAACCGCAUACAUGGGCCCUCAGUGUGUGUGUGUGUGUUAGGGUUGUGUGAGGGCUUUUCCUCUCCUGACAUAGAUGCUCUAGAAACCAUGUCUUUGAUCAACGCCAAACCCUCACAAUCUGAAUUCCAUCUGUAAUAUACUAAAACCAUCUGAGAGUGAAACAUUACAUCAUAUCUCUAAUUGAACCUGAAGAGCACCACUGAGUCAUGAGGAAAACUUAGAUUUUCAUAAAUGUUUCUUAUUUUGGUCACAGCACACUGAGAGAGGCAGAAAUUAGAUUUACCAAUUUAAUAAAGCAAAUCAUUAGUCAAAGCAAUACACACACACAAAAUGGAAAGAAUAAUUACUUGCAGACAGAAUGCUAGUGAUUGUGUGCUCACUUAUUUACACACAUUUUUACAAACCAUGAUGUGUGUAAGUGUGCAGACACCAAAAUGGUAUUAUAUGUUAAAUCAUAAGAGUAUUUAUUUUUUAAAUGUUAAUAUUAAUUAGUAAUAAUGUUUUAUAACAUGUAAUUUUUUUAAAUUAUAUACAUAUAUGUGUGUGUGUGUGUGUGUGUGUGUGUUCAUUUUCAUUGUGUAUACACACACACCCCUUGUAUUUAUUUGAUUAAAUACAGUAAAAACAGUACUGUUGUAAAAUAUUAUUGCAAUUAAAAAAAAAAAAAAAAAACUAUGUUCUAUUCGAAUAUAUUUUAAAAAGUAAUUUAUUCCUGUGGUGGCAAAGCUGAAUUUUCAACAGCCAUUACUUCAGUCUUCAGUGUCACAUGAUCCUUCAGAAAUCAUUCCAAUAUGUUGAUUUGGUGCUCAAGAAACCUUUAUUAUUAUUAUUAUUAUUAUUAUUAUUAUUAUUAUUAUUAUUAUUAUUAUUAUCAAUGCUGAAAACAGUUGUUCUCCUUAAUAUUUUCGUGAAUUUAUAAAAAAAAUUCAGGAUUUUUUGAAGAAAAGAAAGAAUAGAAAUUCUAAAAGUUUUUAAUGUUUUUGCUGUCUUUUCAAUCAACCUAAAUCAUAAAAGUAUUUUCAUUCACCAUGCUGAAUAAAAGUAUUUUCUUAAAAAAAUUACACAAAUCCUACAUAAUGUGACCAAUAUGGUCAUGAACUGAUGGUUGGCAUAGAAGGACUAUAACUGCAUAAUCUUGUCCCAUUUUUAUCUAAGUGUGACUG
ensembl:lncRNA